rfam:Enterococcus avium ATCC 14025 genomic scaffold acpMO-supercont1.1, whole genome shotgun sequence.
UAAGUUCUUCAGGGCAGGGUUUAAUUCCCGACCGGCGGUGAUAGUCCGCGAGCCUUUUGGCUGACUCAGUGCAAUUCUGAGACCGACAGUACAGUCUGGAUGGAAGAAGAAAAGU